UUCCAGUUCCAGAGAUAAAAAAUAAAAAACUCGCCCAUUUUCAUUUUGGCACACACCAACAACGGACCCUCAAACACUCACUCGCUCACUCCCAGACUCCCUUACUCACUCUUCUUCUUCCAAAUUUUUUAAAAUCUUCAAAACUCGACUCACUCCUUUAAACCCCACUGAACACAAUGGAAGAAGAAGAUCAGCAGAAGGUAGCAGAUCUGAUCAAAGAGCUCGUUCUUCGUCUACUUUCCCGAAACCCCAUCUCCGGUUCUCAACAACUCACCUCUAGCUCACCCACUUUCCAGAAGUAUCUCCGUUAUGCCGUUCGAAUACUCUCCGCUCGAUUGAGGCCCUCCAUUGCUCCCGACUCGGCUGCCAUUGCUGAGUCCAUCAAGCGCCGAUUCGCUAAUCAAGGUAAGUCUUCCCAGGCCCUCACUUUUUCCGAGCUUUACAUCAAAUUCGAAUCCAAAACCGGGCCAGGAAGCGUUAAUAACAAGUGGGCAGUUCUUCAUUUGCUUGAUAUUAUAUCCAAGGAUCGGAAGAACACGACGACCCAGUUGGAUUCUUCGUCGGUUUUACUGCCCAAUCUUGCGUUUAACGAUACCGAAUUGGGUAACGAUUUAAGGGUUUCCCGUAGAAGAGGCAGCAAGGAGAAGGGUUGGAAUAAUGGGGUUUUGUUGGUCUCCAAAGACCCGGAGAAUCUGAGAGAGAUUGCGUUUAGGGAGUUUGCGAAUUUGUUGAAAGAAGAAAAUGAGAUUUCCGAAGAAGUUUUGGUGAGAGAUGUGCUUUAUGCUUGUCAAGGAAUUGAUGGGAGUUAUGUGAAGCUUGAUACCAAUUCUGAUGGGUAUGUUUUAUUGGAUUCGAUAAAGGUUCCCAGAGCUAGUCGGAUAAUGGUUCGAAAGCUUUGUGAAUUAGGGUGGUUGUUUAGGAAGGUAAAAGGGUAUAUUCAAGAGAGUAUGGAUCGGUUUCCGGCUGAAGAUGUGGGAACAGUUGGGCAGGCCUUUUGUGCUGCAUUGCAAGACCAGCUUUCAGACUACUAUAAGUUGUUGGCAGUACUUGAGUCACAGUCGAUGAAUCCGAUUCCUUUGGUUUCGGAUUCGGCUGCUUCAGGGAAUUAUCUCUCUUUAAGGAGAUUAUCAGUUUGGUUUGCUGAGCCAAUGGUGAAAAUGAGGUUAAUGGCUGUUUUAGUGGACAAGUGCAAGGUUCUGAAAGGUGGGGCAAUGGCUGGGGCUAUUCACUUGCAUGCGCAGCAUGGUGAUCCAAUGGUGCAGGAGUUCAUGAGGCGUUUGCUCAGGCGGGUUUGCUCUCCACUUUUCGAAAUGGUGAGGAGCUGGGUUUUGGAAGGGGAACUGGAGGAUAUUUUUGCAGAAUUCUUUGUUGUAGGUCAGCCAGUAAAAGCUGAGUCCCUUUGGAGGGAAGGUUACAUGCUCCACGCAGGAAUGCUUCCUUCUUUCAUCCCACAGUCUCUUGCACAACGCAUUUUAAGGACUGGAAAGUCUAUUAAUUUUCUUCGUGUCUGUUGUGAUGAUCGUUUCUGGGCUGAAGCUGCAACUGAAGCUGCAGCCGCUGCUGGGACCUCAACAAGAAGAGGGGGUCUUGGAUAUGGUGAAACUGAUGCUCUUGAAUCCUUAGUUGACGAAGCAGCAAAGAGGAUUGAUAAGCAUUUGUUGGAUGUUAUGUACAACCGUUAUAAGUUUAAAGAGCAUUGCCUUGCUAUAAAGCGGUAUUUACUUCUUGGACAAGGUGAUUUUGUUCAGUACUUGAUGGAUAUAGUUGGACCUGAACUCUCUGAGCCAGCUAACACAAUUAGCUCUUUCCAGCUUGCUGGGUUGCUGGAAACUGCAAUCCGUGCAUCUAAUGCUCAAUAUGACGAUCCUGAUAUAUUGGAUAGGUUGAGGGUAAAGAUGAUGCCUCAUGGAAUGGGAGAUAGGGGAUGGGAUGUGUUUUCAUUAGAAUAUGAUGCAAGAGUUCCUUUAGAUACUAUAUUUACUGAGUCUGUCAUGGCGAAGUAUUUAAGAAUAUUUAAUUUCCUAUGGAAGCUUCGACGAGUAGAACAUGCUCUUAUUGGAACUUGGAAGACUAUGAAACCAAAUUGUAUCACUUCCAAUUCCUUCAAUAAGCUGCAGCAUACGGUUAACAUGCAGCUGCUGUCAACUUUGAGGCGAUGCCAAGUUCUUUGGGAUGAGAUGAACCAUUUUGUUACAAACUUGCAGUAUUACAUCAUGUUUGAAGUCUUAGAGGUUUCUUGGUCCACUCUAUCAAAUGAAAUGGAGGUAGCUAAGGAUCUUGAUGAUCUGCUUGCUGCACAUGAAAAGUAUCUCAAUUCAAUUGUUGAGAAAUCUCUCCUUGGUGAACGUUCGCAAACACUUUACAAGUCUCUUUUUGUCUUGUUUGAUCUUAUAUUACGGUUCCGAAGCCACGCUGAUAGGUUAUAUGAAGGGAUUCAUGAGUUGCAAGCAAGAGUGGAAUCUUCUUUACCCUCUCAAGACAAGAAUAGAUCGAGAAAGAAAACAAGUGAUAAAUCUUCAGAGCCUGGAUCCUGGAUUACUGAUGGUAGGAAGGCCCUCACUCAACGAGCCAGUGAGUUUCUUCGGAACAUGGGGCAAGAUCUUAAUGCAAUAUCCAAAGAAUAUUCCUCGUUGCUUGAAAAUUUCAUUUCUCAGUUGCCUGUUCAGCAACAUGUAGAUUUAAAAUUCCUGUUGUUCAGGCUUGACUUCACUGAAUUUUACAGUCGGAUGCAUCCCAGUAGCUAAUGCACAGGAAAUAUGUCAUUAGUUUUGAGUUGAAACAAAUAUGUUGACAGGUUGAAUUAAGAACAGGCAAUCCAAAUUUGGAAUUGCCCCUGUUUGUGUGGCUCAAUAAUCAUUCAUUGGCUGGCUGACAUCAUGACCUACUAGUUUUUUUUUUUUUUGCUCAACUUUAGGCAGUGUUUGCUUCUUUCUGAUGUUCAAGUGUGAGAGUUCAGUUGACACAAAGGUACAUUUUUACCUUUUAGAUCUGGGUUUGAAGGGUCACAGUAUACACGUAUGGUAUCUGAUGUUCUAAUGGUUUGUUGUUGAUUUCUUGCGGCUUUGCAAGCUGUCCAUUCAGAGCUUGUAUAUUUGUACUAUAGUUCUGUGUUGGAUAAAUGAUAAGCAUUGUGUGCUAUCUUAUUGCAUUCAUUCUCAUCUCUUAUUUUCAUCCA